UACAGAGGGGGCAAGCGUUAUUCGGAAUUAUUGGGCGUAAAGAGCGCGUAGGCGGCCUGGCAAGUGGAAGGUGAAAUCCCUCGGCUUAACCGAGGAACUGCCCUCCAAACUGCUUGGCUUGAGUCCGGGAGAGGUGAGUGGAAUUCCCAGUGUAGCGGUGAAAUGCGUAGAUAUUGGGAGGAACACCCGUGGCGAAAGCGGCUCUCUGGAACGGUACUGACGCUGAGACGCGAAAGCGUGGGGAGCGAACAGG
rnacentral:rRNA from 1 species